AACGCACGAGACCUGCGGACCUGCGGAAGGAUCAUUAGUGAACGCCCUCACGGGCUUAUAACUAUUCCAAACCUCUGUGAACCGUGCCCUUCGGGGCUAUUUUACAAACAUGGUGUAAUGAACGUCAUAUAUCGUAACAAAACAAAACUUUUAACAAUGGAUCUCU
rnacentral:misc_RNA from 1 species